CGCUGGCGGCGUGCCUAAUACAUGCAAGUCGAGCGGACAGAUGGGAGCUUGCUCCCUGAUGUUAGCGGCGGACGGGUGAGUAACACGUGGGUAACCUGCCUGUAAGACUGGGAUAACUCCGGGAAACCGGGGCUAAUACCGGAUGGUUGUCUGAACCGCAUGGUUCAGACAUAAAAGGUGGCUUCGGCUACCACUUACAGAUGGACCCGCGGCGCAUUAGCUAGUUGGUGAGGUAACGGCUCACCAAGGCGACGAUGCGUAGCCGACCUGAGAGGGUGAUCGGCCACACUGGGACUGAGACACGGCCCAGACUCCUACGGGAGGCAGCAGUAGGGAAUCUUCCGCAAUGGACGAAAGUCUGACGGAGCAACGCCGCGUGAGUGAUGAAGGUUUUCGGAUCGUAAAGCUCUGUUGUUAGGGAAGAACAAGUGCCGUUCAAAUAGGGCGGCACCUUGACGGUACC
rnacentral:rRNA from 1 species